AUGAGCGAUGCCCCUCCGAGGAAGCGCCCGCCAGCCAGCUCCGUAGUUCGAGCCGCCGCUGCCGUCGUUGUAGCCGCCCUCGCGUCCUCCUUCGUCGCCCUGUCCCCUCGCUGCGCUCCGGCCGCCGCGGGAUCCAGGCCCAGCAUGUCGAAGGCGAGGGUCUACACCGACGUCAACGUGGUGCGCCCCAAGGAGUACUGGGACUACGAGGCGCUCACCGUCCAGUGGGGUGAGCAGGAUGACUAUGAAGUUGUCAGGAAAGUUGGAAGAGGUAAAUAUAGUGAAGUGUUUGAAGGCUUCAGUGUUAACAAUAGCGAGAAAUGUGUCAUUAAGAUACUCAAGCCCGUAAAGAAAAAGAAGAUUAAAAGGGAGGUAAAAAUACUUCAGAACCUCUGUGGAGGUCCAAAUAUCAUCAAGCUGCUCGACAUUGUCAGGGAUCAACAUUCGAAAACUCCCAGCUUGAUCUUCGAAUAUGUCAACAACACAGAUUUUAAAGUGCUCUAUCCCACGUUGACAGAUUAUGAUAUUCGCUACUACUUAUACGAGCUACUAAAGGCAUUAGAUCACUGCCAUUCACAAGGCAUUAUGCAUCGAGAUGUCAAGCCCCAUAAUGUUAUGAUUGAUCAUGAUCUUCGAAAACUUCGCUUGAUAGACUGGGGCCUGGCGGAGUUUUACCAUCCAGGCAAGGAAUACAAUGUCCGUGUGGCUUCAAGAUAUUUCAAGGGACCUGAACUUCUAGUUGAUUUGCAAGAUUACGAUUAUUCUCUGGACAUGUGGAGCCUUGGGUGCAUGUUUGCUGGGAUGAUCUUCCGCAAGGAGCCAUUCUUCUAUGGCCAUGAUAACCAUGACCAACUCGUGAAAAUUGCAAAGGUACUUGGAACAGACAGCCUGAAUGCUUACUUAAAGAAGUACCACCUUGAGCUUGACCCUCAGCUUGAACAUCUUGUUGGAAGGCACAGUAGAAAACCCUGGUCAAAGUUCAUUAAUGCUGAUAACCAGCAUCUAGUAUCUCCCGAGGCCAUAGAUUUUCUCGAUAAGCUUCUUCGCUAUGAUCACCAAGAUAGGCUCACUGCCCGUGAAGCUAUGGCGCAUCCAUACUUCCUUCAAGUUAGAGCAGCGGAGAACAGCAGGGCACGGCCGCAAUGA
rnacentral:rRNA from 1 species